rnacentral:rRNA from 1 species
UACGGAGGGGGCUAGCGUUGUUCGGAAUUACUGGGCGUAAAGCGCACGUAGGCGGCUUUGUAAGUUAGAGGUGAAAGCCCGGAGCUCAACUCCGGAAUUGCCUUUAAGACUGCAUCGCUAGAAUUGUGGAGAGGUAAGUGGAAUUCCGAGUGUAGAGGUGAAAUUCGUAGAUAUUCGGAAGAACACCAGUGGCGAAGGCGGCCUGCUGGGCAGUUUUGCUGACACUGAGGCGCGACAGCGUGGGGGAGCAAACAGG